UAUUAGUUCGUCUUCCCCGCUGUCGCUCUUAUUGCCGCCACUAUCUCAUCGACGGCUCUACGACGGACACGAAAGGACAUCGCUGCAUUCAUCGCCUCUGAGUAGCUCGCCGUCAGUUACCCUUCAAUUGUGGAACUCAGCCGUCGCCGCGUUCGCGUUUAAAUAUAUGUACGCACUUCCAUCUUCAUCUCCCACACGCGCCAGUUCGCCUCUAAUUUUCUGCUUCCCCUCUGUGUUUUCAACCCUCCUAAUUUCACAACCCUGCAUCCCUCAACUAUAUAUGCUGCGAGAAUUCCAUCCAAUUCUGCAUCCGCUGCUCUAUCUUCUUGGUUUACCCAUCCAAAUCUUGCGAUACACCGCCUCCGCGCUAACCAGCCCACGCCAAAUCGGCCGCCGCCCAUCCACAAGCACACGCCUCCACCGGGGGGAAUCAGUGCCUAGCGGACUGAUGUUGUUGCCGAUGUGCUCUUCCUAUCGUUCAACGCAGCGUGGCUUCUCGACAGGCCGGCAGCCCCGUUUGCUGAACUGCAGCCCUUGGGCGGAGAGGAAGGGGUCUCCGCCCAUGCCAGAUGUCGUCCGCCGCUCGGGAACGCCAUGGGGAAAGGGUGCUGUCCGCUGCCACUGACCACGCCCUAGGAGGCGCACCGUUGAGAUCAGGAGGGAUGCCUUCAGUCCAGGCUCUUCCUCCCUCGCCUUAUUUAUUUGAUUCUCUCUAUUUUUCAGUGCGUGAAUGUGUGUUUGUAUAUAUUUGGGUGAGGCAUGAAUCAGAUUGUCUAAGUAUGUGAACCAGAGAUAAGAGAAUACACAUGUUCUAACAAACAGCGAUGCAAUAUGGAGGACUUGAUCGUUUACGUUGGAAGAAUGGACAACCUGCAGGGCAACAGGGGUAUCUCACAUCUAUCUCUUUAGGGUUCAGGUAUGUGAGGUGGAACUAUAUAUGUGCAAUCUUUUGAUUUUGCAUCUGAUGCACAAGCAAAUCGAUCACAUUCUUAAUUCAGAUGCUUAUGACUAAACCAUAAAAAAGAUCCUGUAAAUAGUGUGGUCUUUUUAUGCACAUUCUGUUAGUCUCCUUGCUUAUUUUUACAGAGCACCAAGCUCCCAUGUCUGAAUUUUAUUUUUGAUACUGAGUUAUCAUACACACAUUCCAUUAGUCUCCGUACUUAUUUAGAGAGCACAAGAUCCCAUAUCUCAAUUUUAUUUUCGACGCUGAGUUAUCAUAUUACCAUUCUCCAUACUUAUUUAGAGAGCAUGGAAAUAUAAUUCUCAUGGUUCCAUCAAUUACAGUCAAAAACUGUGAAACCGAUAUGUGAUGGAUGGCAAGCUUAUUUUUCAGAUUUUUGUCAGAUUCCACCUGCCGCAAGUGCGAGACGAUUUUCUGCAGAUGCUGAGGUUCUAGGACGAUUUGGUGGUUCUUGCUUUAUAGUAUGUUGCCACUCCCAUUAAUAUACAAGUAUCUGACCACACAAAAUUUCUUGCAGGUGGCUCAAACGGAUCUGUUGGCACCCUGUCCAUGCAUACAAUAGCAUUCCCUGCUCUCCCCGUUCGAUCAUCUGUUCAGGUACAUUUUGUUUCCUCCUUUGUUUAGUUUUAUAUUAAACUGACUGAACUAAGGGCAUCUCCAGCCGCGCCCCCAGGAAGGCCUCCCCAGGCGUAUUUUUUGCGCCGGCGCCGAAAAAACGGCCCAGUCGCGUCCCCAGGAGCCCGAUUUUCGCCGGCCUGGACCGAAAACAGCGCCGGCGGACCCAGGCCAAACCCGGCGCGCUGGGGGGCGCCUGGGGGCGCCGGAGCGAACUGUUUUGGCGCGAAAAAGCCGCCGGCCAGCCGCGUCAGGGACACGGCGGCUCGUCUUCCCCCCAACUGCCUCGGUUCCCGCGAGGAAUCAAUGGCAAGGCUGCCGCCAGUCAGCCUUGCCAUUGAUUCCUCAUGGGCGGCUCGUCUCGGGACGGCGCGCCGAUGCCUCCCCUCCGUCGCACGCGUACACACGGACGCGGAGCGGCUAUAAAAGCCGGCGGUUCUCGCCGGUGCCCACACCAGACUCGCCCCUCGCCGCCGCCCAGCCCCUCUCUCUCCGUCUCCGUCUUCCUCUCCCGAGCGCCAUCGGCAGCCCCUCUCUCUCCCUCUCUACGACCGCCGAGCCCGUCGCCAUGGCAGAGCGCUUCCCCGGAGACGAGGCGGCGGCGAACGGCUUCGGCCGGCGUUCGCUCCGUGAACAGGAGUCCUGGCUCCUGUUCCAGGCGAACAUCCCGACGCCGCCGGACAUGCGCGCCGGGCCGACGGGGUGGCGGCUUAGCGACGGGGGAGUGCCCAUUCCCCCGUUACCCGACGCCGUGGCGAAGCCCACGUACUUCGCCGAGGAGGUCGAGGUCGCGCGCGCCUCCCUGACCGACGACGAGCGCUCCCUCCCCCAGUACGCCGCCGGCAAUCACGCGGCUUGGGCAGCGUACUUCCAGCGCCGCCAGCAGCAGCGCCUGGCCUCCACCAACGACGCGCCGGUGGUCGGCGGCGUUUAGAAUAGUGUGGGGCGCCACCUGUGGUGGGGCGUCCCGGGCCGCACGCUGGAGGGCGUGCUGACGCACCUCGACGGCGGCAACAACCCGCCGUUGACCUAUCCUGCGACGGGGGCCGCCCCGUCGCAACACUGACGCGCAUGGGCGCCAAGGAGGUUCGCCUCCUCCUCGUCUUCCUCCUCUCGCUCAUCUUCCCACUCCUUCGGUUCUCCGGCGCUUCUCGGCGUCAAGGCCGAGCCCGCGGCGGAGACGCCAAUCGGUCGGCGCACUCGCAGCAUCGGCAUCGUCAUCAACGAGGGCGGCCGGCGCGCCCCCUCCUCGUCGGCUCCUCCGCGCUUCGUCAAACCGAAGAUGGAGUCGGGGCUGGCGCCGGUGAAGACGGAGCCAGGGCUGGCGCCGGUGGAGGCGGAGUUCGACGACGACGACACGGCCCUAGAAUGGGCACGCAAGGACUCCAUUGCGAUGGAGAAGGCGCGCCGGGAGAAGGAGAAGGAAUGCCAGCGCGCCGCCCUGCGCCGCUUCGAGGAGCGCCGACGCGGCCGCGUUGAAGAUGGGGUCGUCUUAUGCGACAGCGACGACGACGACGACGCGCCGCCGCCAGUCCGCCAUGGUGACGCCGGGCAGGGGUCCAACAGGGGCGCCCGCGUCAAGGAGGAGAAGGCCGACGACGACGAUGGCGGCGACGACUUCAGCCCUUUUCUUUUUUAGAUUAGGGUAAUGUAAUGAAAAUGCGCGAAUUUCACCGAAAUUUGCCAUGUUUGGCCGAAAUUUAACUAGUUUUUAUCAUAACUUCGCCGAACAGUCUUUUUUUUUAAAUACGCGCCUGGGGGCCGACGGCUGAGGACCGACUCGUCCCAGGGCCAUUUUUUGCGCCGGCUCACCCCCAGGCAGCGCUUUUAGACGCCCCCUGGGGGCCAACGGCUGGAGAUGCCCUACGCAUUUUUUACAGUAUAAGCAUGGAUGAGUUGAUUGGCUCGGUUCACUUUAUAUUUCUCAUACGGAUAGGAGCAUCAAAUGGUUUCAAGCAUGCUUCCGGUUGCCUGGCAGUUGGUGAGAGAACUAUGUGAUAUUAUCCUCUCAUGUAACCUGUUCUGAAGCUCAAUUUAGGUGCAAUGUCUAUACAACAGAAUACACAAGUCGAAUCAGACCGAAGGCCAAUGGUUUUGUUAUUUUGGCGAGAGUCAACAUAUUUGGACAAUGUCUAUGUAUAAUAAUGUAACUUUACUGGGUUUCUGUCAUACAUUUAUUUGAACAUUUUGAUUACUACACUAGCAUAACCUCAUUUGGUUGCUACUACAGAUUUCAACUAUGGACACAUUAUCACAGUUUUCAUGUCCUAUCGUUGAUAGAUUAUACCUUGCCCUUAGUUUUGUCAAAGUAAAGGACGCUAAAUAGAGAAGUUAUGCGUUAUUCUGUUUAUUACCCUUUCCACAUUAACC
rnacentral:rRNA from 1 species